CGCGUAGGUGGUAGUGCAAGUCUGGGGUGGAAUCUUAGGGCUUAACCCUAAAACUGCCUUGGAAACUGCAUUACUUGAGUCAGUGAGGGGAGGGUAGAAUUCCUGGUGUAGCGGUGAAAUGCGUAGAUAUCAGGAGGAAGGCCUGUGGCGAAGGCGGCCCUCUGGCGCUGAACUGACACUGAGGCGCGAAAGCGUGGGUAGCAAACAGGAUUAGAUACCCUGGUAGUCCCACGCCCUAAACGGUGGGUACUAGGUGUAGGGCUCGUAAGGGUUCUGUGCCGAAGGGAAACCAUUAAGUACCCCGCCUGGGGAGUACGGCCGCAAGGUUGAA
rnacentral:rRNA from 1 species